GAUGAACGCUAGCUACAGGCUUAAUACAUGCAAGUCGAGGGACCGGCGCACGGGUGAGUGACACGUAUACAACCUGCCCUUUACCCGGGGAUAGCCUUUCGAAAGAAAGAUUAAUACCCGAUAUAAAGGAGGGGGAUGCGUUCCAUUAGGUGGUUUGUGAGGUAACGGCCCACCAAGACUUCGAUGGCUAGGGGUUCUGAGAGGAAGGUCCCCCACAUCGGAACUGAGACCCGGUCCAAACUGCUACGGAGGGGAGGAGUAGGGAAUGUUAGUCAAUAGGCGUUAUCCUGAACCAGCCAAGUAACGUGAAGAAUGAAGGCUUAUGAAUCGUAAACUUCUAUUAUAUAAGAAGAUGUAUUAUAUGAAUAAGGAUCGGCUAACUCCGUGCCAGCCGCCGCGGUAAUUC
rnacentral:rRNA from 1 species